rnacentral:snoRNA from 1 species
GCCGGGUGAUGAGAUUAUAUGGAUUCCCCUUCGGCAGUGUCGCAAGACACAGCGACCGACACCCCAUUGACUGACGGC